UGGGGAAUCUUAGACAAUGGGGGAAACCCUGAUCUAGCCAUGCCGCGUGAGCGAUGAAGGCCUUAGGGUUGUAAAGCUCUUUUCAGCUGGGAAGAUAAUGACGGUACCAGCAGAAGAAGCCCCGGCUAACUCCGUGCCAGCAGCCGCGGUAAUACGGAGGGGGCUAGCGUUGUUCGGAAUUACUGGGCGUAAAGCGCACGUAGGCGGAUUAGUCAGUCAGAGGUGAAAUCCCAGGGCUCAACCCUGGAACUGCCUUUGAUACUGCUAGUCUUGAGGUCGAGAGAGGUGAGUGGAAUUCCGAGUGUAGAGGUGAAAUUCGUAGAUAUUCGGAGGAACACCAGUGGCGAAGGCGGCUCACUGGCUCGAUACUGACGCUGAGGUGCGAAAGCGUGGGGAGCAAAACAGGAUUAGAUACCCUGGUAGUCCACGCCGUAAACGAUG
rnacentral:rRNA from 1 species